CCUACGGGUGGCAGCAGUAGGGAAUCUUCCACAAUGGGCGAAAGCCUGAUGGAGCAACGCCGCGUGGGUGAAGAAGGUCUUCGGAUCGUAAAACCCUGUUGUUAGAGAAGAAAGUGCGUGAGAGUAACUGUUCACGUGUCGACGGUAUCGAACCAGAAAGACACGGCUAACAACGUGCAAGCAGCCGCGGGAAUACGUAGGUGGCAAGCGUUAUCCGGAUUUCUUGGGCGUAACGGGAACGCAGGCGGUCUUUUAUGUCUGAGGUGAAAGCCUUCGGCUUAACCGGAGUAGUGCAUUGGAAUCUGGGAGACUUGAGUGCAGAAGUGGAGAGUGGAACUCCAUGUGUAGCGG
rnacentral:rRNA from 1 species